rnacentral:rRNA from 1 species
GACGGAGGGUGCAAGCGUUAUCCGGAAUUAUUGGGCGUAAAGCGUCCGCAGGCGGCUGUUCAAGUCUGCUGUCAAAGCGCAGAGCUUAACUCUGUACAGGCGGUGGAAACUGAAGAGCUAGAGUAUGGUAGGGGUAGAGGGAAUUCCCGGUGUAGCGGUGAAAUGCGUAGAUAUCGGGAAGAACACCAGUGGCGAAAGCGCUCUACUGGGCCAUAACUGACACUGAGGGACGAAAGCUAGGGGAGCGAAAGGG